AGUAGCGGUGAAAUGCGUAGAUAUCUGGAGGAAUACCAAAGGCGAAGGCAGUCCCCUGGUCCGAUACUGACACUGAGGUACGAAAGCGUGGGGAGCAAACAGGAUUAGAUACCCUGGUAGUCCACGCCCUAAACGAUGUCGAUUAGCCAUUGGAAGGACCCCUUUUCCUUUCAGUGACGUAGCUAACGCGUUAAAUCGACCGCCUGGGAAGUACGACCGCAAGGUUAAAACUCAAAGGAAUUGACGGGGACCUGAACAAGCGGUGAAUGAUGUGGAUUAAUUCGAUGCUACGCGAAGAACCUUACCUACCUUUGACAUGGCCAAAGUUCUACCGAGAGGCGGAAGUACUCGUAAGAGGAUUGGCGCACAGGUGCUGCAUGGUUGUCGUCAGUUCGUGUCGUGAGAUGUUGGGUUCAGUCCCGCAACGAACGCAACCCUUAUCUUUAAUUGCUCCUAUUUUAACAGGCACUUUAAAGAAACUGCCAAUGAUAAGUUGGAGGAAGGUGGGGAUCACGUCAAGUCCGCAUGGCCUUUAUAGGUAGGGCUUCACACGUCAUACAAUGGUUAGAACAAAGAGCUGCAAAUUCGUAAGAAGGAGCCAAUCUCACAAACCUAACCUCAGUUCGAAUUGCGGUCUGCAACUCGAGCGCAUGAAGCCGGAAUCGCUAGUAAUCGUGGAUCAGAAUGCCA
rnacentral:rRNA from 1 species